rfam:Halopiger salifodinae strain CGMCC 1.12284 genome assembly, contig: Ga0079850_14
GGGCCCUUAGCUCAGUCUGGUUAGAGCGCUCGGCUCAUAACGCGACCUGACCGUGUGAGGUCGUGUGAGACACCGAGUGGUCGAUGGUUCGAAUCCGUCAGGGCCCA